GACGUAGGAGGCGAGCGUUGUCCGGAUUCAUUGGGCGUAAAGAGCACGCAGGCGGUUUGGCAAGUCGGAUGUGAAAACCCGGAGCUCAACUCCGGGCGUGCAUCCGAUACUGCCCGACUAGAGGUAGGUAGGGGAGAUCGGAAUUCCUGGUGUAGCGGUGAAAUGCGCAGAUAUCAGGAGGAACACCGGUGGCGAAGGCGGAUCUCUGGGCCUUACCUGACGCUCAGGUGCGAAAGCGUGGGGAGCGAACAGG
rnacentral:rRNA from 1 species